UGUUUUUAUUUAUUUAUAUAUAUAUAUAUAUAUAUAUAUAUAUAUAUAUAUAUAUAUUUAUUUUUGGUUUUUUAAUUGGGGUAGCCCCCCAAAAAUUGGGACAUAUAAAAAAAGACAACUCUGUUCCACAGAGUAGCUGUUGACAUUAAAGUUGUGCAGGAACUUUGUUGACUCUAGAGAACCAUGGGCAAAUCGCACAUCCCCGUGGUGGCGGCUUUGCAUGCGGAUGUCAUCCAUAUCAACUUUCAAUGCCAGUUUCUGCACCUACCAUGGUGACCACGGGUAAUGGGGAAUCAGGGUUCCAUUCUGUACAGGGACACUGAGAAAUGGCUACCACAUGCAAGGAAGGCAGCAGGCGUGCAAAUGAACCACUCCCAACGCGAGAAGGUAGUGACGACAUAACAAUACAGGACUCUCUAGAGGCCCUGUAAUUGUAAUGAGUCCACUUGAAAUCCUUUAACUCUGAUCAAUUGGAGGGAAGUCUGGUGCAGAGCCACUGACCCAUGCAUGCUGCAGCUGAAACUCCACUA
rnacentral:rRNA from 1 species